rnacentral:rRNA from 1 species
UCUGGUGAUUCCUGCCGGACCCGACUGCUAUCAGAGUGGGACUAAGCCAUGCGAGUCAACGUAGCAAUGCGUGGCGAACGGCUCAGUAACACGUAGUCAACAUGCCCAGGGGACGUGGAUAACCUCGGGAAACUGAGAUUAAACCGCGAUAGGUCAAGAUUUCUGGAAUGGAUCGUGUCUUAAAUCUACAUGGCCCCUGGAUUGGACUGCGGCCGAUCAGGCUGUUGGUGAGGUAAUGGCCCACCAAACCUAUAACCGGUACGGGCUCUGAGAGGAGAAGCCCGGAGAUGGGCACUGAGACAAGGGCCCAGGCCCUAUGGGGCGCAGCAGGCGCGAAACCUCUGCAAUGGGCGAAAGCCUGACAGGGUUACUCUGAGUGAUUUCCGCUAAGGAGAUCUUUUGGCAGCUCUAAAAAUGGUGCAGAAUAAGGGGUGGGCAAGUCUGGUGUCAGCCGCCGCGGUAAUACCAGCACCCCGAGUGGUCGGGACGAUUAUUGGGCCUAAAGCAUCCGUAGCCGGUUGUGCAAGUCCUCCGUUAAAUCCAGCCGCUCAACGGAUGGGCUGCGGAGGAUACUACAGGACUAGGAGGCGGGAGAGGCAAGCGGUACUUAGUGGGUAGGGGUAAAAUCCUUUGAUCCAUUGAAGACCACCAGUGGCGAAGGCGGCUUGCCAGAACGCGCUCGACGGUGAGGGAUGAAAGCUGGGGGAGCAAACCGGAUUAGAUACCCGGGUAGUCCCAGCUGUAAACGAUGCAGACUCGGUGAUGGGCCAGCCUUGUGCUAGCCCAGUGCCGCAGGGAAGCCGUUAAGUCUGCCGCCUGGGGAGUACGGUCGCAAGACUGAAACUUAAAGGAAUUGGCGGGGGAGCACCACAAAGGGUGAAGCCUGCGGUUUCAUUGGAGUNCACGCCGGACUCUAGAGGAU